GCGUACACGGUGGAUGCCCUGGCAGUCAGAGGCGAUGAAGGGCGUGCUAAUCUGCGAUAAGCGCCGGUAAGGUGAUAUGAACCGUUAUAACCGGCGAUACCCGAAUGGGGAAACCCAGUGUGACUCGUCACACUAUCAUUAACUGAAUCCAUAGGUUAAUGAGGCGAACCGGGGGAACUGAAACAUCUAAGUACCCCGAGGAAAAGAAAUCAACCGAGAUUCCCCCAGUAGCGGCGAGCGAACGGGGAGGAGCCCAGAGCCUGAAUCAGCAUGUGUGUUAGUGGAAGCGUCUGGAAAGGCGCGCGAUACAGGGUGACAGCCCCGUACACAAAAGCGCAUGUGCUGUGAGCUCGAUGAGUAGGGCGGGACACGUGGUAUCCUGUCUGAAUAUGGGGGGACCAUCCUCCAAGGCUAAAUACUCCUGACUGACCGAUAGUGAACCAGUACCGUGAGGGAAAGGCGAAAAGAACCCCGGCGAGGGGAGUGAAAAAGAACCUGAAACCGUGUACGUACAAGCAGUGGGAGCACCCUUUGGGUGUGACUGCGUACCUUUUGUAUAAUGGGUCAGCGACUUAUAUUCUGUAGCAAGGUUAACCGAAUAGGGGAGCCGGAGGGAAACCGAGUCUUAAUUGGGCGUUAAGUUGCAGGGUAUAGACCCGAAACCCGGUGAUCUAGCCAUGGGCAGGUUGAAGGUUGGGUAACACUAACUGGAGGACCGAACCGACUAAUGUUGAAAAAUUAGCGGAUGACCUGUGGCUGGGGGUGAAAGGCCAAUCAAACCGGGAGAUAGCUGGUUCUCCCCGAAAGCUAUUUAGGUAGCGCCUCGUGAAUUCAUCUCCGGGGGUAGAGCACUGUUUCGGCUAGGGGGCCAUCCCGGCUUACCAACCCGAUGCAAACUGCGAAUACCGGAGAAUGUUAUCACGGGAGACACACGGCGGGUGCUAACGUCCGUCGUGAAGAGGGAAACAACCCAGACCGCCAGCUAAGGUCCCAAAGUCAUGGUUAAGUGGGAAACGAUGUGGGAAGGCCCAGACAGCCAGGAUGUUGGCUUAGAAGCAGCCAUCAUUUAAAGAAAGCGUAAUAGCUCACUGGUCGAGUCGGCCUGCGCGGAAGAUGUAACGGGGCUAAACCAUGCACCGAAGCUGCGGCAGCGACGCUUAUGCGUUGUUGGGUAGGGGAGCGUUCUGUAAGCCUGCGAAGGUGGCCUGUGAGGGUUGCUGGAGGU
rnacentral:rRNA from 1 species